CUUACAUAGCCAGUAAUGGAGAUCUCGGCUUUUAGUAAGUAAUACAAAUUGGAUUUUACCUGAUACAGGCACUGCUGAAUACUUCUUAAAGGUUAGUGCGGCUCAUCUGUGGCCUGGAUGGUGAAAUGGUUCUCAGACAACAAUGAGCUGGAUCACCUUUGUGUCUGAACCGUCAGCAUUUGCUUCUUAUGGAGAUGAAGUGCAAAAUCUGUGGUGCCCUAUUAUUGGUUCUCCACUUAUCCAAUCAGCGAUCUGCCCUCUGUCUUCAUUGAAAACGUGUUCCACUCAACAUUUAUGGUCGACUUACUGCCUUAUACCACCAGGGGGCAGCAGGGCUGAAAAGCAGAGCGCAUCCUUGACGUCUCUUGACCUUUGCCCCCCUGUUUCUCUGCAGAGGAUGUCCUAACCAAGGAUGCAGAGGAGUGUGCGAUUUGCCUAGAGGAGCUGGUCCAGGGGGACACCAUCGCACGGCUGCCCUGCCUCUGCAUCUACCACAAGGGCUGUAUAGAUGAGUGGUUUGAGGUGAACAGAUCGUGUCCGGAGCAUCCAUCAGAUUAAAGAACGCCCUGGCUGUUUGCACAGAUUUUGCUCCCUUUUUGUGGAUCUGCUCCAAUUACGACAUGCAGCAAUCUGAUUAUGCUCCCCCGUCUUGUUGCCAUGGAGACUGCAGCGAAUACCGACUGGCACACGCAGAGCAGAGCGGACUCCACAGCGGAGAGACGUACGUGGCGUCCAAACGAGUUCAUACAAGUUCUUGGUUGUGCCAAAACACGUUAAAGCAACCUUCAGGGAACCUCUUGUGACACUUCACACGUUUGUGUUUGCACACUGUCUCCUCUCUCUCCACGACAACCUCAGCUGACCCACUGCAUUCCAACCUCCGGGGCCAUCGUGGCUGCCAGUCCCCUGUCACUGCUGCACAACUGUCCAAUCAGGAAGCAGUGUUGCUGGAUCAGCAACCCCCCCCCCCCCCCCCCCUUCUGCUUAGAGACACUUACGCUGGCUUCUGUAAGCAGGCUGGCCGUCUCAGCUGUUGUUGCUGGAGCAGCAAUCCCCUCCUUGAUUGUAAUCCUGUGAACUCUGAGGCAACCCUUUCUUAACAACCCUCUCCACUAGUGCCUUCGCAGUCAGACCGUGGGGCAUCAGAACUGACAGCAGAUGGCGCCAGAGGGAAACGCCUCCUAGCCAUCAUUUUCCGUUUCGCCACAGGAGGGCACCAGUCAGGUAUCUUUCAUCUGACCUGCUGGUGCCUAUGGAGAUGUGGCUGACGGAACCCGUGCAUGCUCCUGCUGUGAGGAGCCCGUGCCGAUGUAGCAGUGUCUCUUUGGGGAAUGAAGCAUCGCUGACCCAAACCUGAGCUACGGUGCCUACCCCACUCCCACUCUGUGUCGCUGUACUGUCAUUCAGGAUAAUGCUUUUCUGAAUAAUCCCUCCUGUCAGUACUUGUAUGACUCUCCACCAGUCACUCGUGGGAGGCGUUACUACAAUCAACAGUUUGUCACCCAUGCUCGUAGCUUCCACCGCUCCCUGCCUUAUAAAAUUUUUUGUAUAAAAAGUCCAGAAUUCCCACCCCAGGGAGACUCAGUUAAUCGGACAGUCAGCACAGGCAACACUCCAGAUGACCUAACCAUUGCUCAGCUAUGCCCCCUGGUGGCAAGUCCCUAACCCAGCCCUCUAUAGGAGAUGGUCCAGGAGGGCUGUCUGGUUAUGAGGUGCACAGCUUUGACCCUGAAAGUAAGCCAUGUGGCUGUCAUGAUUGUGACGUCGGCAGUGUUACGGAUCAGUGCACAGUCACUGAGCAUUUCAUGAUUCAGUGCAUCCCAACAGCUGGCAAAGCUGAGCACUUUGGGCCACAAAAUUUGGACGGUCUUGAAGGAGAGAACCUUGGGGGUGCUCGCUGCUAAAUGUUCAGUGCUGUAGGAAGGAGACCGUGGGAAUUUCUAGAGAGGGGAAGCUUGGAUAGCUGCAGGGAGUUGUGGUGGAGCUGGGUGGCAAACAUGCACGAGGGACGGCUGGAUUACGUUUAGUCUGAGGUAUGAUGAGAAGGACCCAGUGAGUGUGCAUGUUGGAGGAGGUGUUGAGUCUCAGGACAAAUGCGGAGCAGCCCGUGGGCAGAGGAAAACUGUGGUAUUUUACGGUUUUACGGUUUAAGUGCUGUCAAGGUGCUAAUGCGCUGCUAAUGUAACCUUUCACUUAGGGAAGCAGAGAGCCAUCCAGUAGAAGUUUAGUAACUCUGGCCAAUCACAGCGCGUCGCUCUCCCUUUAAAAUUGACCUAUGGGUCAUUUUGAGGUUGUUAAAUUCUUCCUGUUCUUCCUGUCUGCAAAAGGUAAAAAUCACAAGUUCAAUCACAACAACUGAGCUGAUUUAACUCCUAAUGUAGCUUAUUUUGGGAGGACGGUCCUUCUGGGCUGCCUGAAUAUCUUGGGUUGGACCUUUUUUGGCAUGUGACCGGAAAUGCUGGUGUGCAGAGGAUUCUGGGAAAUAGUGCACAGGUAAGAGUCACGUUGAGCUUAGCAGCAAAUAAUCAUUUAAGCACCUUUACUAGAUUUAAUUGAAAUGUUUAAAUGCAUAUUUAUGCCAUGUAAAACUUUUACAUGGAUUUUUCUUUCCAAAAUGUACAUAUAUAUUUUCUGCUCGUGUUAAAUUUGCCACACCUGAGCCUGCAUCGAUCCUAUUGGAUAGGUGUCAAAAUCGAUCUUUGAAAUGAUUACAAGGUGUUAUUUAAUUUUUAUAGUAGGGGCUGAAGGUCCUUGGUGAGGUUUGGUCACCAUAGUGCACUUCCUCUGCGAUCAGGAGUUCACACAUGUUUCAGUCCUUCACGAGGCUGUGGUGAGCGGACUAACCGUUUCAAGAAGGCGGGGAGGCGAGAGUAGGGGAGUGAGCAUGUGGUAAAGCAAAGCCCCAUGGUACUUUGUGACAGACCAGAAGCGUGCAUCCAGGAGAUUGUGAGCUUUUUAUGAUUAUUUACUUGUUUGUUUGUGACAUAACAUUCCAUUUAUGUAAAAAAACAUGUA